ensembl:rRNA 5S_rRNA 5S ribosomal RNA
GUCUAAGGCCAUACCACCCUGAACAUGCCUGAUAUCGUCAGAUCUCAGAAGCUAAGCAGAGUGGGGCCUAGUUAGUACUUGGAUGGGAGAAAUAUUGAACUACAGAUA